GGGAUGGGCCUGCACUGAGAACCUGAGGCAGGUGCUCCAGGGAGCGGGGUGACAUGCGAGGGGUCACGUCAUGUCACCACAGCUGGAGCCGGGUCAGAACUGAGGGUGAGGUCUGGACCCCCAAGCAGGGGCUCUUGGUGCUAAAUCACCUUUCCUGGAAUUGCUAAGCACCCACUGCCCCCCUGGUCAUGGCCAGGCCGUUCUCUCCAGGUGUCAGUGACAGGGCCAGUGACAGCCACCUCUUGGUGGCCUCUCAGGAGGGCUCUGUGCCAGGGACGUGGCCUGGGCCCCUGCCGUCCUGGCUCCAGUGUCCACCCUUCCGUCCAUCACAGACCCUGAGCACACUUGAAGCCUUAGCUUGGGGCCGAGGCAUCCACAGGCCUCUGGUCCCCUGGCUCCCGAAGGCAUCCCUUUGAGCCUCUAACAACAGAGGCCAUUGGGCACCUCACUGCUCUGGACUCAAGAGGGAUGAAGACUGUCCCUCGUCUGUGUCCAGCAUCUGGCGCCAGUGACCCCAUCCUGGCCAGGGACCAGGCACUGGUCUGUGAGCUGUGCUCUGGGAGUCCCGCUGGAAAGCGGUGUGGGCUGGACCGAGGGCUGGACAGGCCCUGGUAUCUGGAGUUCCCUCCUGAUGGACACCGAUGCCAUCCUACCCGAGGACACGGAGGGACCCGGCUCGCGGUCGAGGAUGCCACGCGCCCUGCCUGCCUCAAGCGACGCCUCCAAGCUGGGAAUUAUGCCCCUGGAGCCGAGUAGCUGCUCGGAAGAUGCACGAGGAGUUUGGAUUUCAGACGUGGGCUGGCACUGGGCCCCCUGGGCAAGUUCUUUCCCUCUCUGUGCCUCAGUUCAUCAUCUGUAAAAUGGGGGUAAGGCUCUUGCAAGCAGAGAAACCCACCCCAGUGCCCACCGGAGGCAACCCCAGGAGGUCUGGGGGCGAGAACGGCACGGGGCUGGGCAGACGGCGGCGGGCCCGGGCGUGCAUGUCCCAGCACAGGGCCUGGCAGGUCCCACGUGCCCAAUAAUGG
rnacentral:lncRNA from 9 species